rnacentral:rRNA from 1 species
GUUGAAUUUGUGUCUUGCGCUGUCGGUUCAUCGCUGUUUGCGGUGUUUAACUGGCACGUUGUGAGACGUCUUGCCGGAAGGGCAUGGUAUAUGUUUUAUUUGUGUCGUUCAUAAUAUGCACUAUAAUAUAUGGAUAUUUUUUAUGUAUGUGUGUUGUGUUAGUUCCUUUUACUAGGGCUUUUACAUACACACAAUUAUAUAUAAUUAAUUGAAAUUAUUAUUAGUUGUUUAUAUUAUGUAAUUAGACCUUAUAAUAACGUGUACGUAGUCCGACUUUUUUAAAAUCCUGUCUAGGUGCUCUUAAUUGAGUGUCGUGGCGGGCCGGCACGUUUACUUUGAACAAAUUAGAGUGCUUAAAGCAGGCUUAUGUUGCCUGAAUAUAGUGUGCAUGGAAUAAUGAAACAGGACCUCGGUUCUAUUUUGUUGGUUUUCUGAACUGGACGAGGUAAUGAUUAAUAGGGACAGAUGGGGGCAUUCGUAUUCCGACGUUAGAGGUGAAAUUCUUGGAUCG